UAGGGAAUUUUGCGCAAUGGGGGAAACCCUGACGCAGCAACGCCAUGUGUGGGAUGAAGCAUUUCGGUGUGUAAACCACUGUCAGCAGGGAAUAAAAGGCCCUUACGGGCAUUUGAAUGUACCUGCAAAGGAAGCGCCGGCUAACUUCGUGCCAGCAGCCGCGGUAAUACGAGGGGCGCAAGUGUUGUUCGGAAUCACUGGGCGUAAAGGGAGCGUAGGCGGGCUUUUAAGUUAGGUGUUUAAUCCCGGGGCCCAACCCCGGACCGGCACCUAAAACUGGGAGUCUUGAAUAGUGGAGAGGUCAGUGGAAUUGGGGGUGUAGCGGUGGAAUGCGUAGAGAUCCCCAAGAACACCAGUUGCGAAGGCGGCUGACUGGACACAUAUUGACGCUGAGGCUCGAAAGCAUGGGGAGCAAACAGG
rnacentral:rRNA from 1 species